UCCCAUUUAGUGUAGUGGUUAGCAUACCUCGCUUUCACCGAGGAGACACGAGUUCGAACCUCGUAGUGGGAA
rnacentral:tRNA from 1 species